ACAACAGACGAAAUCCCUAAGAUAUAAAUAUAAUGCUUCUACAAUGAGGAGUGCUUCUACAUGCUUCUACAUCUGUUAGUGAUUCCAGAUUGUUGACGAAAUAUCUUAUACUGCUACAUUUACGUAUCACCUUUUUAACUUUUAACUGUUUCGAUGGCCAUUGAUGUUCAGGCUGUUAUGAUGGAGAUGAUGCCUAAUGAGGAGAUGGUGAAAGGUGUGCUUAAAGCUGUUCCUGCUGCUGGUGUCCUUGGUUGGUUGGUUGGUAACCACUGCAGCAUCACACACCACAACAGACGAAAUCCCAAAGUUUUCGAUGGCCAUUGAAGUUGAGGCUGGUAAUGGAGAUGCUACCUAAUAAAAGAUGGUGAAAAGGUAUGCUUAAAGCUGCUGCUGCUGCUCAAUGUGUUGUUCGUUAAUUUGUGUGUUAUGUCAAAGCUCUUCCAUCUCUGCCACUUAAAUCUCAUCCAUGCAGUACACCAUUGAGGCAAUUGA